UUUAAGCAUAUCACUCAGUGGAGGAAAGACAGGCAACCGCGAUUGCCCCAGUAAUGGCGAAUGAAUUGGCAACACAACCUGUGAAGGUGGCUCAUCCCGAAGUGGUUUCCCUUCCAGCACUGACCCCCAACCUCGCUGUUGUGGGGGCAGACGCGGUUGGCUACCGUGGAAUCCAGCAGAUGCUGUGGGCUAUGGACUGGGUGGUCUGUUGCGGUUCGACUUGGCAUGUGUCAGGAAGGGCCCUGGAAUGGCCCACAUCAGAGGGAGAGUGUCCCGUACCACCUGUGCACUGCCUCGCCUGCGUGCAGCACUGCCUGGAUCCAGGAGUAGAAUGGCUUGGGACUGCAGUUUGAAGUGCAAGGUGUAUCCAUUGCAAGGCAGAAUACUGACCUGGGACCGAUAGAGCACAAGUAGAGUGAUCGAAGGAUGCAAAGGACUUUGCAAAGAGGGUUAAAAGUCCCUGAAGCUGUGGCAGCAACGGCGGAGAGUGGAGCUGUGAAGCAGUGCAGACCCCUGCCUGGUCCCCCCAAGGGUGGCCUCCCAUUCACAAAUGCAGCUGUCGCUGCAGGGAGCCCCUUGGGUGUGUGUGCAUGAGGCGGUGUGUAUGGACCCAGUCCUGCAUCAUUCGCCUCUGUACUGGACCAUGGCAGAGGGAACGCACCACAUGCCAAGCAACCUUGGGCCAGCCCAGCACUGGCCAGGAAGCCCUGCCCCCAUGGGGAGGACGCUACCCUGGCAGUGCCUGGUGACACACUGCGUGCCUGGGCCUGAGGCUUAGAUUGGAUGGUUUGACCUUGUGGCGAAUGCGAUGUCCCCCUGCCUGCUGUGUCCUCUUCCCCGAAGCAGCAGAGCAAGCCAAAUGGGCUGUGAUGAUUGGUUACCUGUGCAGCAGCAAAGCCCCUCUGUGGAGGCAGCAGCAGUCAUGAUGGUGAUGCACACCCUGCAUGUGUGCUCUUGUGGGAGAGAGGCAACGACACAGAGGAGAGAGGAGAUGGGGAGACAGAAGACACAGACACCUGCUUGCCAGUGUCAUCCUCACAUUGCAUUGCUGAUGCUGAGUGAACACAACAACCCCUGGUGUGUCCACGGACAUGCCAGUCACUGUGCCUGGUCAUGGCCUGAGGCUGGUGGAUGCAUGGUGGCUGCACCACCCUAUGGCUGGUGGCUCCUGUGUGACCACGUGGUCUCCCAGACAGAGCAUGGUGUGAGAGGCAGAGUGGAGCUUGGGCCAUCAGUGCCACCCUCUGCCCGUCUUGAAACACGGAUCAAGGAGUCUAUGGAGCUUGCGCACAGUUGGAAGGUUCCCACAAUGGAAGCCGCAGUGCAUGGUGAAGGCAACAGACCCAGAUGGUGAAUCCCCUCGUGGGAGACAGUGCUGCAUGGGACACCAGUCCUGAAGUCCAAUGGACAAGGUUCUGAGUGAGUGCAAGGUCCCUGGGACCCGAAAGGUGGUGAACUAUACCAUUCUAUGGUGAAGCCUUGGGAAACUGAGGUGGAGGCCAGCAGCUGUUCUGACGUGCAAAUUGUGUAGCCUGAGUGUGGCAUAGGGGUGAAAGGCCAAUCGAACCACCUAGUAGCUGGUUUCCUUCGAAGUUUCCCUCAGGAUAGCA
rnacentral:rRNA from 1 species